rnacentral:rRNA from 1 species
CUACGGGUGGCUCCAGUGAGGAAUAUUGCACAAUGGGGGGAACCCUGAUGCAGCAACGCCGCGUGGAGGAUGACGCAUUUCGGUGUGUAAACUCCUUUUAUAUGUCAAGAAAAUGACGGUAGCAUAUGAAUAAGCACCGGCUAACUCCGUGCCAGCAGCCGCGGUAAUACGGAGGGUGCAAGCGUUACUCGGAAUCACUGGGCGUAAAGGACGCGUAGGCGGGUUGGAAAGUCAGGUGUGAAAUCCUACAGCUUAACUGUAGAACUGCACUUGAAACUUCUAAUCUAGAGUAUGGGAGGGGGAGAUGGAAUUAGUGGUGUAGGGGUAAAAUCCGUAGAUAUCACUAGGAAUACCUAAAGCGAAGGCGAUCUCCUGGAACAUUACUGACGCUGAGAUGCGAAAGCGUGGGGAGCAAACAGGAUUAGAUACCCCUGUAGUC